UACGUAGGGCGCAAGCGUUGUCCGGAAUUAUUGGGCGUAAAGAGCUCGUAGGCGGCCAGUUGCGUCCGCUGUGAAAUCCCCGGGGCUUAACCCCGGGCGUGCAGUGGAUACGGGCUGGCUAGAGGCAGGCAGGGGAGAACGGAAUUCCCGGUGUAGCGGUGAAAUGCGCAGAUAUCGGGAGGAACACCGGUGGCGAAGGCGGUUCUCUGGGCCGAUAUUGACGCUGAGGAGCGAAAGCGUGGGGAGCGAACAGG
rnacentral:rRNA from 1 species